UUCGGGGCUUCUUGGUGAUUCAUGAUAACUUAACGGAUCGCAUGGCUUGCGCCGGCGACGGUCAUUCAAAUUCUGCCCUAUCAACUUUCGAUGGUAAGGUAUUGGCUUACCAUGGUUUCAACGGGUAACGGGGAAUUAGGGUUCGAUUCCGGAGAGGGAGCCUGAGAAACGGCUACCACAUCCAAGGAAGGCAGCAGGCGCGCAAAUUACCCAAUCCCGACACGGGGAGGUAGUGACAAUAAAUACUGAUACAGGGCUCUUUUGGGUCUUGUAAUUGGAAUGAGUACAAUUUAAACCUCUUAACGAGGAACAAUUGGAGGGCAAGUCUGGUGCCAGCAGCCGCGGUAAUUCCAGCUCCAAUAGCGUAUAUUAAAGUUGUUGCAGUUAAAAAGCUCGUAGUUGAACCUUGGGUCUGGCUGGCAGGUCCGCCUCACCGCGUGUACUUGUCCGGCCGGGCCUUCCUUCUGGAGAACCUCAUGCCCUUUACUGGGCGUGUUGGGGACCAGGACUUUUACUUUGAAAAAAUUAGAGUGUUCAAAGCAGGCCUUUGCUCGAAUACGUUAGCAUGGAAUAAUAAAAUAGGACGUGCGGUCCUAUUUUGUUGGUUUCUAGGACCGCCGUAAUGAUUAAUAGGGACAGUCGGGGGCAUCAGUAUUCAAUUGUCAGAGGUGAAAUUCUUGGAUUUAUUGAAGACUAACUACUGCGAAAGCAUUUGCCAAGGAUGUUUUCAUUAAUCAGUGAACGAAAGUUAGGGGAUCGAAGACGAUCAGAUACCGUCGUAGUCUUAACCGUAAACUAUGCCGACUAGGGAUCGGGCGAUGUUCUUUUUCUGACUCGCUCGGCACCUUACGAGAAAUCAAAG
rnacentral:rRNA from 1 species